AUUGAACGCUGGCGGCAGGCCUAACACAUGCAAGUCGAACGAGUGGCGGACGGGUGAGUAAUGUCUGGGAACCUGCCUGAUGUAGGGGGAUAACUCCUGGAAACGGUAGCUAAUACCGCAUACCAUCAGAUGUGCCCAGAUGGGAUUAGCUUGUUGGUGGGGUAACGGCUCACCAAGGCGACGAUCCCUCGCUGGUCUGAGAGGAUGACCAGCCACACGGGAACGGAGACACGGGCCAGAAUCGGACGGGAGGAAGAAGUGGGGAAUAUGGGACAAGGGGCGAAAGCGUGAUGCAGACAUGCGGGGGGUAUGAAGAAGGGCAACGGGGUGUAAAGGACGUGCAGCGGGGAGGCGUUACCCGAAGAAGAAGCACCGGCUAACGCCGUGCCAGCAGCCGCGGUAAUAC
rnacentral:rRNA from 1 species